GGUCCUAUGGUGUAGUGGCUAUCACUCUGGACUUUGAAUCCAGCAACCCCGGUUCGAAUCCGGGUAGGACCU
rfam:Globodera pallida, Lindley, WGS project CBXT01000000 data, contig: pathogens_Gpal_scaffold_7492_contig_1